rnacentral:rRNA from 1 species
UACGGGGGGUGCGAGCGUUGUCCGGAAUCAUUGGGCGUAAAGAGCGCGUAGGCGGUCCGGUAAGUCCGCUCUGAAAGUCCGGGGCUCAACCCCGGGAGGCGGGCGGAUACUGUCGGGCUAGAGUCCGGAAGAGGCGAGUGGAAUUCCUGGUGUAGCGGUGAAAUGCGCAGAUAUCAGGAGGAACACCAAUGGCGAAGGCAGCUCGCUGGGACGGUUACUGACGCUGAGACGCGAAAGCGUGGGGAGCAAACGGG